GUUUCUCUUUCCGCGGUGGCGUCCGGCGAGGACCGCUUCGGCCCUGUUUCCCUCUCUUCUGGACCCUCCCGCGGGGCCCUCUGCCCGCCUGUUCGCACCUGCCCCAGCACCCGCCUCUCGAGGGGCUCUGGCCCCGACCCUGCGCCUUCCGGCCACUUCUCGGACCCCUCCUUCGGACUUGGCGACCCCGAUUUUGCCCCGCUACCUCGGGUUCCACUUUCUGCCGCCAGGCCCUCUUGGGACGCGCCCUGACACACCCUCCUCCGCCCCAGCUGUCUCCACACCCGCCGGGGGCAGAGCCCUGUCCUCUCCUCCCCUGCAGCCAGAUCCCCCUAGGAGGCCACAGAAGGUGUCCCCAACCCUGAGCCUGACCCCACCCGUAGACCCCCUCCUAGCCCCUGCUCCACCCGCCGUCGACGCCCUCAGUCGCCCGCCCUGCUGUCCCGAAGCCCCGGCCGGCCGCGGUCUCUGGUCUUGGCUCGGGCUUCCCGGGAAGCGGCGGCCUGACCACAGGCUUCAGAGGAACCCCUGGCGGCGCGGGCGCCUCCACCCCGGCCCAGUUCCUCGGAAACUGGGCGGGGCCGGGCAAGGUCCCUGGUGGCCUCGACUGCCCUCCCUGCGCUCCCACUACCCGGCUGCGGAAGAAACUGAGGCUGGGGAGGGGCUGGGAUUUGCAAUGGCUUGCAGAUUGGGAGCUCUGGACCUGGAUCUCGCCUUCCCCGUCUUCAUUUUGGGGAGAGGUGCAGCUGGACGACAUCAAAUUGGAGCCCAGUGAAAAAAUGGUGCAUUCUCAGACGUGAUGAAUCCCCAAACCUGGUUUCCUAGCCCUCCUCUCCCCCGACCCCUUCCUCAUAGAUUUCCCCCUCCUACUGCUCCGUCAGGCAUCUGCCCUUCAAAGACUGCCUUCCCACCACACACACGGCCGGGGCUUGGGAUGGUGGGCGGUCGGUGGUCGGGGCUGUAAUUUGCACACGUGUUUGUGAUUUAGUGAUUCCGAUUGUCGUGCGAGGCCAUGGAGUAGGUGCCUGGCUGCUCCGUGUAUUUUUGAAUGAAGGCAUGUGAGGAGCCCCAGCAUCACAAGGGGCCACAUAAAAACCUGGCUAGGCUGGGCACUUGGUUACUGGCCUCACACUGGGACACACUGCCCUCUACAGACAGCUCUCAGACGGCUUCUCUCCUGGAAGCCCUGGUGCCCAGUCCCUUCCCGCCUCCCUGGCCCCACGAUACCUCUUUCCCCAGGCAGAGCCUAGGUCCUUAUUAACCUCCUGAACACAGGGAGUGGCCCAGAAUCAGCCCAGCUUAGCACCCCAUCAGUGCCCUGAAUCUGCAUGUGGCCAGGGCUGGUGGUGGUCAUUGGUGUAGCCUCCUAGGUUGUGCGUGUGUGUGCGUGCGCGUGCGUGAGGGGGUGAGAGAAGAUGCAGAACCUUGCCUGCACCAGAGGUCAGGUGUGUGAUCAUUCGAGAGAUGUCCACUGAACAUCUGCUGGAGGCCACACUCUGUGGAGGGUGAUGGAAUACAAGGAGACCCAGUUCCAAAUCUGCACCUUUCUAUUCUUGUGACCUUGAGCAUGUAAUUAACCUCUCUGCCAUGGUUUCUUUAUCUGUGAAAUGGGGAUAAUAAUAGUACCUCUAGCAGGGCGCAGUAGCUCAUGCCUAUAAUCCCAGCACUUGGAAGGCCAAGACAGGAGGAUUGCUUGAGCCCAGGAGUUUGAGAACAGCCUGGGCAACAAAGUGAGACCCCCUCUCUACAAAAAAAAAAAAAAAAAAAAAAAAAUAGUACAAAAAUCAGCCAGUCGUAGUGGAUUGCACCUGCAGUCCCAGCUACUUGGGAGGCUGAAGCAGGAGGAUUGCCUGAGCCCAGGAGGUCAAGGCUGCAGUGAGCCACGAUUGUGUCACUGCACUCCAGCCGGGGCAACAGACUAAGACCCUGUCUCAAAAAAAAAUAAAUAAAUAGUACCUCCAUCCCGGGGUUGUAUGGGAAUUAAAUGAGUGAUUAUGGGUCAGGUGCUUAAAACAGCCCGUAGUGUCUAAUAAGCAGUCGGUAGAUGUUUGUUGUUCAUCUGAGGGUGCCUGUGGGUGUGGCAGUGUGUUGGAGCCCACAGACGCAUGGCUUCAACCCCUGUGUCCAUUUUUUUAAAGAGAUGGAGUGUAGCUCUGUUGCUCAGGCUGGAGUGUAGUGAUAGGAUCGAGGAGGCACUAUAGCCUCGACCUCCUGGGCUCAAGAGAUUCUCCCAUCUCAGCCUCCUGAGUAGCUGAGACUACAGGCACAUGCCACCACACCCGGCUAAUUUUUUAAAUUUUUUGUAGGGAUGGGGUCUCACUACGUUGCCCAGGCUGGUCUCGAACUCCUGUCCUUUAGUGACCCUCCUGCCCUGGCUUCCCAAA
rnacentral:lncRNA from 1 species